rnacentral:rRNA from 1 species
UACGGAAGGCAGCAGUGGGGAAUAUUGCACAAUGGGCGCAAGCCUGAUGCAGCCAUGCCGCGUGUAUGAAAAAGGCCUUCGGGUUGUAAAGUACUUUCAGUCGUGAGGAAGGUGUUAAGGUUAAUAACCUUAGCAAUUGACGUUAGCGACAGAAGAAGCACCGGCUAACUCCGUGCCAGCAGCCGCGGUAAUACGGAGGGUGCGAGCGUUAAUCGGAAUUACUGGGCGUAAAGGGCACGCAGGCGGUUAAUUAAGUUGGAUGUGAAAUCCCCGGGCUUAACCUGGGAAUGGCAUUCAAGACUGGUUAGCUAGAGUCUUGUAGAGGGGGUAGAAUUCCAUGUGUAGCGGUGAAAUGCGUAGAGAUGUGGAGGAAUACCGGUGGCGAAGGCGGCCCCUGGACAAGACUGACGCUCAUGUGCGAAAGCGUGGGGAGCAAACAGGGAUUAGAUACC